AUAUGAUAAAUAACUUGUUAAUUACAGUAAUGAUAUCAAGUUAAAUGAAAUUUUUACAUCUCAUCAUUUUGAGAGAAUAUUCUAAAUAGUUUAAUCCAUAUCUUAAGGUCAACUCAGAGCAAUAAUGACAGAAAAAAUAUUACAUCAUUCUUUAGCAUAUUCUUAAGAGUAAUUGUACACUUCAUGCUAUUUAGUCGUUAAGUAGUAUUAUUAUACGCCAACUUUAAUUAGUAAAUUAGU
rnacentral:lncRNA from 1 species